rnacentral:lncRNA from 1 species
CUCUUUUUUUUUUUUUUUUUUUUUUUUUUUUUUUUUUGUCACAAGAUACUUUCUCGUAUAAACGAUUUGUAUCAGAAUACAAAAGCCGCUCCCAGGAGUUCCUUUCGUUCAAGAAAGUUUACCAUCUAACCCUCGGACAUGCAGAGAUGACCGGGGACGCUUAGACAAUAAAGCUUUAAUGUUCGAUAAGAAAACACCCACAAGGUCCUGCUCGGCUUUCCGUCCUUAACUUCUGUCGAGUACCCUGAAAAAACCACAUAAAUACAAAAAACAUGAGAAGUUCAUAUAUAUUGACUAAAUAAAGUUGAUAAAUCAUAACAUAAGAGAAAGACGAGCAACAUAAAGCUAAAUAAGAAUGGAACAUAAAUAUGUUACAGAGAAUCUUGAAAAAAAUGAGAGUAACUCAAAACUACAAUAAUACAAUUAAAAAAACAUGAGUAAAGUGCACUUUGUGUGCUCGCACUUCACUCAAGACACCACUUGCAUAACUGUAAUUUAAAAUCGAGCACUUGUAAUAUCAAUUUUUGUAUUUCAUUGUAUUUUAUUGCAUUCCGUUAAUCUGGGUUAACUCCGUUAAUAAUUUAGAGAGUAAAGUACACUUUGUGUACUCGCACUUUAUUUAAAGUUCUUUUUGUGUACUUGCACUUUACUGUAAAUUUUCAACUAGAGUAUUGCAAAUGAUGUUUUUGAGUAAAGUGCGAGUACACAAAAUGCACUUUACUCUUUCAAUUAUUAACAGAGUUAAUCCAAAUUAACGGAAUACACCAAAGUGUAAAGAAAUACAGAGAUUGAUAUUGCAAGUGCUCGAUUUUGAACUACAGUAUUACAAACGAUGUCGUGAGUAUAUUAGGAGUACACAAAAUGCACUUUACUCAAAAAACAUCUACACCAAAGAGAUAAUGAAAUCUCUUUGGUUAGAUACUUUAGGACUUAAUACAUAGUAAAAUAUACCAUGCAACAAUACAUCAUAAUGUGAAUCAGAUUGGUUCUUGAGAUUAAAUUCUUUCUGUUGUGCCAUUUGGGAAGCAACAUUGUGAUCAUUAUUGCUAUCAUUACUACUGGGAUGAUUGCAGCAAAGUUGUACAAUGUAGGAAUUGUUCCCAUAUUCUGCAAUUAGUAGCUGUAGUUAUUGGCACUUAUUCUUGACGCACACUGAUGGUAUCUUCAAUAUGCAUUUCAGAGAUGUUAAAAACAACUGAGUAUCCAACCUGGAUUACUUGUCCCGCAAUUAAAUAACCCAGAGUUACGGGGAAG